rnacentral:rRNA from 1 species
GGACGAACGCUGGCGGCGUGCUUACCACCUGCAAGUCGAACGGAAAGGCCCUGCUUUUGUGGGGUGCUCGAGUGGCGAACGGGUGAGUAACACGUGAGUAACCUGCCCUUGACUUUGGGAUAACUUCAGGAAACUGGGGCUAAUACCGGAUAGGAGCUCCUGCUGCAUGGUGGGGGUUGGAAAGUUUCGGCGGUUGGGGAUGGACUCGCGGCUUAUCAGCUUGUUGGUGGGGUAGUGGCUUACCAAGGCUUUGACGGGUAGCCGGCCUGAGAGGGUGACCGGCCACAUUGGGACUGAGAUACGGCCCAGACUCCUACGGGAGGCAGCAGUGGGGAAUAUUGCACAAUGGGCGGAAGCCUGAUGCAGCAACGCCGCGUGCGGGAUGACGGCCUUCGGGUUGUAAACCGCUUUCGCCUGUGACGAAGCGUGAGUGACGGUAAUGGGUAAAGAAGCACCGGCUAACUACGUG